UGGAGACGACGCAAUGCUCUGGGAAGAACCCUGGGUGCGGGUGAGAGAGGAAUCCGAGCUGCACAAGGCCAAUGAGGGGAGGACAACCCGCCCGAUUUAGACAAAGGCAAGGUAAGAAGAACUACAGAGGAAGAACCUACUGCAGAUGUUUCCCAGGAGACUUUAAUUGAAGUAUCAGCAAAACUGAAAGGUAACGAGAGAAUCUUGUGCCUCUGAGGGUGUCUUUCCCAUGGAUCCCUGCUCAGUUGCCUUUCACGGGCCCCCUGAUUUGCGUGAACUCCUGACCUCAGAUGAUCCACCUGCCUUGGCCCUCCAAAGUGCUGGAAUUAUAGGCAUGAGCCACCGUGCCUGGCCUGUUCCAUGCAUUAAAAAAAAAUUAAAAAAUUAAAAAAAAUCAGUGAGAACAAGAAGAAAUGUAAAUGCUGGGCUUUUCAUAUAAAUCCAGGGAAUUAUGGGACAGUUAGUACCCACCUCCCAGGGUAUUAUGAGGAUAAAUUCAUGUCAUCUUCCCACCACAGUGCUCUGUAGCGUGCUUCUGAGCACACAGAGCAUGCUCCAUAAACAUUGCAUUAACGCAUGUGUGCAUGUUGUUUUCCAAAUGCAGACUUACUCAGACAUGAGCUGCCUUCUC
rnacentral:lncRNA from 1 species